rnacentral:lncRNA from 1 species
UUUUAUUUAUGGUGUAUGUGUGUUCACAGAGUAUGCACAUGCCACAGUGCGAAUCUGGAGGUCAGAGGAGAAACUGCAGACGAGGCUUCUUAUUCUACCAUGGAGGUGCCUAAUAUCAAACUCUGGUUGUCAGGCUUUGUGGCAAAGACAGAGACAUGGCACUGGCUUGCCAUUUUAACCACUUUUGUUUAUAUAAAACUUUUAUUUAUUUAUUUAUGUAUAUGAAUACACUGUAACUGUCCUCAGGCACACCAGAAGAGGGCGUCAGAUCCCAUUGCAGAUGGUUGUGAGCCACCAUGUGGUUGUUGGGAAUUGAACUCAGGACCUCUAGAAGAGCAGUCAGUGCUCUUAACCACUGAGCCAUCUCUCCAGCCCAUUUUAACCAUUUUAAAAACACUUUCUUUGUAUUUGUUUUAAUUAUAUGCCCCCCGUAUGUGUUUUUGUGCAUGGGAGUGUGUAUGGAUGUAUGUAUGAGGGUAUGUGUGUGUGUGUGUGGGUGUAUAUAUGGAUAUGUGUUGGAUGUAUGUAUGAGGGUGUGUGUGUGUAUGACUGUGUAUAGGUGUAUGUAUGAGGGUGUGUGUGUAUGAGUGUGUGUGUAUGGGAGUUUAUGUGUAUGUAUAUAUGUGUACUGUAUGUGUAUGGGUGUAUGUAUGAGGGUGUGUGUGUAUGGGUGUAUAUAUGGGUAUGUGUUGGGUGUAUGUAUGAGGGGGGUGUGUAUGAUUGUGUGUAUGGGUGUAUGUAUGAGGGUGUGUGUGUAUGAGUGUGUGUGUAUGGGAGUUUAUGUGUAUGUAUAUAUGUGUAUUGUAUGUGUAUGGGUGUAUGUAUGAGGGUGUGUGUGUGUAUGAGGGUGUAUGUGUAUGUAUAUAUGUGUGUGUGUGUUUGGGUGUAUAUAUGGUUAUGUGUGUGGGUGUAUGUAUGAGAGUGUGUGUGUGUUGGGUGUAUAUAUGGUUAUGUGUGUGGUUGUAUGUAUGAGAGUGUGUGUGUGUUUGGGUGUUGUGUGUAUGAGUGUGUGUAUGGGGGUUUAUAUGUGUGUGUAUAUAUGUGAUUGAAUGUGUGUAUGGGUCUGUGUUUAUGUGUGUAUGUUUAUAUGUGCCUGCUUUUUAACAAUUUUCAAUUUGUUCAAUUUUACCAAUAAAGACUCAGGAGCCAGAUGCUGGGGUGAAAGCCUACUAGCUCAGAGAGGCAGAGAAAGCACCCAGCUGACCUUUCUCCUCAGCUGAUGUCCCAGAAGGAAUGUUCUCUUUCCUGCUGGUUCAAAAAAACCACCCUUCAAGCGAAGUGACCCUCCCUCCUCCUUCCUGUAUCUCUCCACUCAUCUUCCUGACUCCCUCUCACUCUCUAUGUUUUUUUUCUUUUCUUUUUUCUUUUUUUUUUGGGGGGGGGGAGGGGGAGAGGGGUUCGAGACAGGGUUUCUCUCCCUGGCUGUUCUGGAACUCACUCUGUAGACCAGGCUGGCCUCGAACUCAGAAAUCCACCUGCCUCUGCCUCCCAAGUGCUGGAAUUAAAGGCGUGCCCCAGCACUGCCCAGCUUGGCUUUUUCUUAAUAAUCCUACCUUCACUUCUUGUCAACUGGUUGCUUACCCUGCCUCUUGACCUGUGGCUGACUUUAUUUAAUCCUGUUUACAAUAUUCAAGCAGAAAGCUCUUGGAUUAAAUGUCUAAACCACAUUACAACUAGAAACAGGUUUUUCCAAUAAAUAAUACAAUCUUUGGGUUCACAGUAGAAAUAUCCUGCAACGUGUGUGUGUGUGUGUGUGUGUGUAUCCAUAUCCAUACACACACACACACAUGAUGCAGAAUAUUUAUAUAUACAUGUAUGUGUGUGUGUGUGUGUGAGAAUGCAUGCAUAUGGGUAUGUGUAUGGGAGUGGUAUAGGUAUGGCUGUGUGGGGUGGUAUGGAUGUGUGCUCGGGUGGGGAGGUGGGUAAAGGUGUGUGAUUGUGUGGGGGAGAGAGAUGUGUGUGGGCAUGGAUGUGGGGAGUAUGGAUGGGUAUGUGUGUGGGUGUGAGCCACCUGUCCUGGGUGCUGGGAACUGAACCUAGGUCCUAUGCAAAAGCUCUAAGUGCUGCUUACCCACUGAGCUGUCUCUGCAGCCCUACAUGUUAGCCAUUUUAAAACACAUGUGCAUGGGUUAUGGGUUUAUGGUAUUGUAAAGCCAUCACUAGCAUCCAUCCAGAGAGCUCACUCAUCCUCCCAAGCUGAACCUCUGUUGCCAUUAACUACAGUCCCUUCUACACACACACACACACACACACACACACACACACUAACUACAGUCCCUUCUACACACACACACACACGUACACACACACACACAUUAACUACAGUCCCUUCUACACACACACACACACACACACACACACACACAUUAACUACAGUCCCUUCUACACACACACACACACACACACACACACACAUUAACUACAGUCCCUUCUACACACACACACACACACAUUAACUACAGUCCCUUCUACACACACACACACACACACACACACACAUUAACUACAGUCCCUUCUACACACACACACACACACACACACACACACACAUUAACUACAGUCCCGUCUACACACACACACACACACACACACACACACACCUAUCACCUACGGCUCUAGUUUGGUUUUGUGAGCAUGCGUGUAUGUACAUGCCUCUGUGUGUGUGAGUACCUGCCAUGACCUGUAUAGAGCCCAAAGACCAGCUUCUGGGAGUCAGUUCCCUCCAUCCACUGAGGACAAGCUGUGCAGCUAGCAUCUUUACCCACAGAUCACCUUGAUCUCUCCUAGAGGCCCUGUAUUCUUUCCUAACUGGCUAAUUUCAUGCCGUACCCGUGGUAGAGCAUCUCUCAGAGUGUUCUUUUUAAAACUGGGUGAUAGUCUGCUGUGUAGAUUUAUCACAUUGUGUUUAUUUGGGCAUCUGCCCCGGGGUGAAGUCUUAGUCUGCUCUGUUGCGGCUGUAACUGAAUACUCCAGAGCAGCCUAUGCACAAUGACAGACUAAGGCAGGAAGAAUUUGAGUUUGAAAUCACUCUAGACUGUCUACAUAGUAAGAAACUGUCUCAAAAAAAGAAAAGGAGCCGGGCAGUGGUGGCACACGCCUUUAAUCCCAGCACUUGGGAGACAGAGACAGGCGGAUUUCUGAGUUCAAGGCCAGCCUGGUCUACAGAGUGAGUUCCAGGGCAGCCAGGCAGCCAAGGCUACACAGAGAAACCCUGUCUAAAAAAGGAAAAAAAAGAAAAGAAAAGGAGACAGACAGACAGGAGGGGCUGGAGAGGUGGCUCAGUGGUUGAAGAAGCACUGACUGCUCUUCCAGAGACCCUGAGUUCAAUUCCCAGCAACCACAUGGUGGCUCACAACCAUCUGUAAUGAGAUCUGAUGCCCUCUUCUGGUGUGUCUGAAGACAGCGAUAGUGUACUUACAUAUACAUAAAAUAAAUAAAUCUUAAAAAGAAAAAGAAAGGAGGAGGGACAUAACUUUGUGGAUCUUGCUCUAUUGGCUAUCCGAUAGGGCCUUCCUCCUGGGUCAUGGUGAGGCAGUCCACAUUUGAUACACAGGGACAGAAGAACUGCCAAAGAGAUCUUGCUUAGAUAGCAAAGCCACUCCCAGCCAGGCAGAGAUCUGAUUUAAACAUACCUGAGAUCCUGACACUCAGGAGGUUGAAGCAUAAGUAUGACAGCUUCCAGGGUAGACUGGGCAACUAAAUGAGGCCUUGUCUCAAAAGGAAAAGGAAAAGAGGGCUGGGGGCGUGGCUCAGUGGUAGAGCCCCUGCCUAGAAUCCCCCAGUGAGGGACUGGAGUAUAGAAGGAGUGAAUCAUAUUACUGUUGUGUCUUACAGGCCUACAC